rnacentral:rRNA from 1 species
UACGAAGGGGGGCUAGCGUUGCUCGGAAUCACUGGGCGUAAAGGGUGCGUAGGCGGGUUUUUAAGUCAGGGGGUGAAAUCCUGGAGCUCAACUCCAGAACUGCCUUUGAUACUGAAGAUCUCGAGUCCGGGAGAGGUGAGUGGAACUGCGAGUGUAGCGGUGAAAUGCGCAGAUAUCAGGAAGAACACCCGUGGCGAAGGCGGCUCUCUGGGACGGUACUGACGCUGAGACGCGAAAGCGUGGGGAGCGAACAGG